AGCAGCCGCGGUAAUUCCAGCUCCAAUAGCGUAUAUUAAAGUUGUUGCAGUUAAAAAGCUCGUAGUUGAAUUUCGGGGUUAGUAGGUUGGUCAUGCCUCUGGUAUGUACUGGUCUCACUGAUUCCUCCUUCCUGAUGAACCUUAAUGCCAUUAAUUUGGUGUUUUGGGGAAUUUGGACUGUUACUUUGAAAAAUUAGAGUGUUUAAAGCAAGCUAACGCUUGAAUACAUUAGCAUGGAAUAAUGAAAUAGGACGUUCGAUCCUAUUUUGUUGGUUUCUAGGAUUGACGUAAUGAUUAAUAGGGAUAGUUGGGGGCAUUAGUAUUCAAUUGUCAGAGGUGAAAUUCUUGGAUUUAUUGAAGACUAACUACUGCGAAAGCAUUUGCCAAGGAUGUUUUCAUUAAUCAAGAACGAAAGUUAGGGGAUCGAAGACGAUCAGAUACCGUCGUAGUCUUAACCAUAAACUAUGCCGACUAGGGAUCGGAUGAUGUUAAUUUUUAAU
rnacentral:rRNA from 1 species